AUUUAAUUAGUUUAAUUAAAAUAUUGAUAUGUGAUUUCAAUGAUAUUUAUUUAUUAAAUU
rnacentral:tRNA from 1 species